AGUGAACGCUGGCGGUAGGCCUAACACAUGCAAGUCGAACGGCAGCACAGUAAGAGCUUGCUCUUACGGGUGUCGAGUGGCGGACGGGUGAGGAAUACAUCGGAAUCUACUUUUUCGUAGGGGAUAACGUAGGGAAACUUACGCUAAUACCGCAUACGACCUACGGGUGAAAGCAGGGGAUCUUCGGACCUUGCGCGAUUGAAUGAGCCGAUGUCGGAUUAGCUAGUUGGCGGGGUAAAGGCCCACCAAGGCGACGAUCCGUAGCUGGUCUGAGAGGAUGAUCAGCCAGACUGGAACUGAGACACGGUACAGACUCCUACGGGAGGCAGCAGUGGGGAAUAUUGGACAAUGGGCGCAAGCCUGAUCCAGCCAUACCGCGUGGGUGAAGAAGGCCUUAGGGUUGUAAAGCCCUUUUGUUGGGAAAGAAAAGAAGCAGGUUAAUACCCCGCUGUUCUGACGGUACCCAAAGAAUAAGCACCGGCUAACUUCGUG
rnacentral:rRNA from 1 species